GAUGAACGCUGGCGGCGUGCUUAACACAUGCAAGGCGAACGAAGCACUUUAUUCGAUUUUCUUCGGAGAUGAAGAUUUAGUGACUGAGUGGCGGACGGGUGAGUAACGCGUGGAUAACCUGCCUCACACUGGGGAAUAACAGUUAGAAAUGACUGCUAAUACCGCAUAAGCGCACAGUACCGCAUGGUAUGGUGUGAAAAACUCCGGUGGUGUGAGAUGGAUCCGCGUUUGAUUAGCCAGUUGGCGGGGUAACGGCCCACCAAAGCGACGAUCAAUAGCCGACCUGAGAGGGUGACCGGCCACAUUGGGACUGAGACACGGCCCAAACUCCUACGGGAGGCAGCAGUGGGGAAUAUUGCGCAAUGGGGGAAACCCUGACGCAGCGACGCCGCGUGAGCGAUGAAGUAUUUCGGUAUGUAAAGCUCUAUCAGCAGGGAAGAAUAAAUGACGGUACCUGACUAAGAAGCCCCGGCUAACUACGUGCCAGCAGCCGCAGUAA
rnacentral:rRNA from 1 species